GAAAGGGCAAUCUGGCUACAACAUCAGUCACCUGACUGAUCAGUAGGGUUGAUUUGAUUGAUCUGGCUGGUGAGGUUGGUAUCCCCUUCCUACCUCCAUUUUUGCCCCUUCUGAAGAUGAGCACUGGAUCAAAGUGACCUAGAGAGGAGGACCAGUCUUCAGUAAAGAGUGUACAAGUAGCAGUGCUACCCAGCUAGAACCUCCAAGUAAGUUCUCAGGCUUGAGUGCAUUUUAAAUUGAGCUCCUCAGUAAGCCGACAGUUUUUACAAGUCACAUUAAUUAACAAUUAAUUAAUUGCUGUUUUCU
rnacentral:snRNA from 1 species